rnacentral:rRNA from 1 species
GAUGAACGCUAGCGGCAGGCUUAAUACAUGCAAGUCGAGGGGCAGCGCGGGUAGCAAUACCUGGCGGCGACCGGCGCACGGGUGCGUAACACGUAUGUAACCUACCUUAAACUGAGGGAUAGCCCCUCGAAAGAGGGAUUAAUACCUCAUAACACUGCGGAUAGGCAUCUAUUUGCAGUUAAAGUUCCGACGGUUUAAGAUGGGCAUGCGCGACAUUAGCUAGUUGGUGAGGUAACGGCUCACCAAGGCUGUGAUGUCUAGGGGUUCUGAGAGGAAAAUCCCCCACACUGGUACUGAGACACGGACCAGACUCCUACGGGAGGCAGCAGUAAGGAAUAUUGGUCAAUGGGCGCAAGCCUGAACCAGCCAUGCCGCGUGCAGGAUGACGGCCCUAUGGGUUGUAAACUGCUUUUGUACGGGAAAAAACCCUCCGACGUGUCGGGGGCUGAUGGUACCGUAAGAAUAAGGAUCGGCUAACUCCGUGCCAGCAGCCGCGGUAAUACGGAGGAUCCUAGCGUUAUCCGGAUUUAUUGGGUUUAAAGGGUGCGCAGGCGGAAUUAUAAGUCAGUGGUGAAAUCCUGCAGCUUAACUGCAGAACUGCCAUUGAUACUGUUAUUCUUGAGUAUAUUUGAAGUGGGCGGAAUGUGUCAUGUAGCGGUGAAAUGCUUAGAUAUGACACAGAACACCAAUUGCGAAGGCAGCUCACUAAGCUAUAACUGACGCUCAUGCACGAAAGCGUGGGGAUCAAACAGGAUUAGAUACCCUGGUAGUCCACGCCGUAAACGAUGAUUACUCGAUGU